AUAGGACACUGUGGCUGAUCAUCUUAAUCCCAGUUGGAGUUCUGAAACCUGGUUGCCUUUGACAUCUACUGACAAAAGGGCUACUCACAUAAGGACUUCUGGAGAAAUGACAGUCCCUUGCUACUGUGUUUAAUUGGAGAGGAUCUCAGAGAUCUGAGAUUAUAAUUAUGACGCCCUAAAUGCCGAGCUCUUCAAAAGUCUGCCAUUGCCCUUGCUGUCACCCUGAACAGCUCUGAAAAUCCAAUCCCUGCAACCCCCAGAGCAUGCCCUGGGUCUCUCAGCCACGCCUCACCUGGGAAAUCUGAGUGAUGGUGACGUGCAGGCAGCAGGAAGACACGCAGUAAACCCAGGAGCCUGUGAUGAGCUCAGAAGAGUCUGUCAGAGGCGGCGGCCGAGACGAGCUACCCCACG